CAGCCAAGCAGCAGCAGUGAGGGCGCCUGGGGGGCGUGCGUCAGCCAUCGUGUAGUCGAGGUGAGACGUGGCAGCGAGCACAGCCAAGCAGCAGCAGUGAGGGCGCCUGGGGAGCGUGCGUCAGCCAUCGUGUAGUCGAGGUGAGACGUGGCAACGGGCACAGCCAAGCAGCAGCAGCAGUGAGGGCGCCUGGGGAGCGUGCGUCAGCCAUCGUGUAGUCGAGGUGAGACGUGGCAGCGAGCACAGCCAAGCAGCAGCAGUGAGGGCGCCUGGGGAGCGUGCGUCAGCCAUCGUGUAGUCGAGGUGAGACGUGGCAGCGGGCACAGCCAAGUAGCAGUAGUGAGGGCGCCUGGGGAGCGUGCGU